CUAAAAUGCUUAAACUUUGCUAUUUUACUAUGCUUUCAAUUGCUAGAUUUAGUUGAUUUUCUUAUCUAUAGACUAUCAACUUUUUCAUUGUUUCUCUUCAUUAAGCUGACGGCAUUCUUGUGAUUAAUUUUGGUUUUCUAUAUGAAGCUUAAUUCUCUCUGAAAAGUAAAAUCCUUUUAAUGUAUAUAUCUUCACUUUUUAGCCAUAAUUGCAAAGAAUUUCCCUUUUUCUUCAUAAUUUAUCAUUUCCAGGUGAGUUCUAAUGAAACUGUAUCAGUAGAUGGUUACAAGACAGAUUGAUGAGAGAGAUAAUGUGGUCCCUAGCCUGCAGCGUUGACGUGUAGCUGCUUGCUUUUAUAGUGACUUGGUCAUGUAGUUUCAUUCAUGGCGCAUCUACCUAGUCCAAUAAUAUCAAUGAGGUGUAAAUGUAAGCGUGUAAGAAAACACUUAAGUAGGUUUGACGUUUCAUUCAUGUCUUUUAUAGUGCCAAAGAAUCGGAGGUUGUUAGCCAUAAUUUUCACCAAAAAAUAAGAAAAUGUUUCAAUAUGGAAACUGGAAAGAUGGAGAAAAAGAAAACAUAUAUGCGAGGGGUGAAUGUUGGUUCCAUUGAGUGUGUUAUUUCUUUUUGUUGCCUGGAGAAAAGAUGGUAGACUCUGUUUCAGUGGAAUAAGAAAUCAUGAAAAUAUUGUGUCACGUAGAUGAAGGCCAUUUAAUGGUAUCUUUUUUUUGUCUAUUCAGAAUAAUCUUAGCAUGCCUCUGAUUUCUUGACAAACAAACUGAGGUGAAAAUUACUGUUUGUUGUUUGUAAAAAAAAAAAGAAAAAAAAUACAAAAAAAAAAAAAUUAAAAAA
rnacentral:misc_RNA from 1 species